UGUGUGUCUAGGUGACACAUAUGUGUGUCUAGGUGACACAUAUGUGUGUCUAGGUGACACAUAUGUGUGUCUAGGUGACACAUAUGUGUGUCUAGGUGACACAUAUGUGUGUCUAGAUGGCAUA